GUUUUUAUUUAUAUAUAAAAGAGUAUUGCGUAAAAUAUAUAAUAAAUAGGUGUACGGACGUGUAUGCAAUAAAAUGGAUGUAAAUUUAUAUAUGUUAUAUAUUGAUACAUCAGAUUAACACUCGUUCAAAUGCAAAAAUGGUCAGAAAAGAAUAAAUCGAAAAUUGUAUUCAUCUACUAAAAAGUGCCAUAAUGACUUACAUAAAUAGAACAGCAUAAUAAGACAUUAAGCAAACACAUUACUUAACGUGAUUAUUCAAACUUCCUAUUAUUAUGGAGACUAAAUUAAAAAAAAUCAAUCUGUUCCUAAAAAUCAGGAAAUUAUUCAACCAACAUUCAUUCUCCUAAACUAGUAUUUAUACUUUAGUUCACUUCACUCAUUCCUAGCUCACCACACAACCUUUCAAACUAUUCAAACUUCAGAGGCUUUGUUAUUAUAUCAAUGAUUUGAGCUUGUGUGUUGCAAUACUUCCAUUCUAUAACACCUUCACCAACCAAAUCUCGAAGGAAAUGAUACCUAACAUCAAUAUGCUUACUGCAAUUAUGCAUCACUGGAUUUUUUGACAGUUUGAUGGUUGACACAUUAUCACACUUAAUAAGUGUGUUUGAUUACAAACCGAUAUGUUUCAACACUCCCCUAAGCCAUAUUACUUGACAGACACAAGUUGUAGCAGCUAUCAACUCGGCUUCCGCAGUAGACAGAGUUACAAUUGGUUGUCACUUGGAAGACCAGACAAUAGCACCUCCAUUCAAAAAGCAAACAUAGUCUGAAGUGCUUCUUCGAUUAUCAUGAUUACCUGGAUAAUCACUAUAAAAAAAUGCCACCAAUUGAUUAGUGCCUCAAUUCUUAAAAUAUAUUCCAAAAUUUGAUGUUCCUUGGAUGUAUCUCAAAACCCUUUUCAUGGCUGCCAUGUGUUGUUCAUAAAGUUUGUCCAUGUAACGACUGAGCAAACUAACAACAAACAUUAAGUCUGGUCUAGUAGUAUUCAGAUACAUAACACAUCCCACCAUUUGUUUGUAAAGAGUCGCAUACAAAUACCAUUAUGAUCAUCUUUAAUCAACUUACAUCUUGGAACAAUCGGAGGAUUCUUGACACUGUUGCAAUCUUCCAUGUUGAAUCUGCCAAGAAUUUCCCGAGCAUAUUUUUUUGAAAGUUGCAGUAGACUCAAAGAAUUUAAAGCCGUGUGGGCCUGUGAUAGUUUUAUUUUAUGACUCCCCAUGUAUGCCCGGUGUAUCUUGUAAUUAAUAUUUAUUUAUUAUAUUAUAUAAAAACUUUUGAUCUUUCCGAUAAAAAAAGAUCCAUGCCUCAAUGAAAAUAAUCGAAUAUCAACCACCAUCACUCCCCAUUUGGAAAACAUCAAAACAAAAGGACCUUAAUUUUAAUUUUAACAUCUCUACCUCCCCUGGAUCAACUCUCCUUACUUUCAUUUCCAUCACCACCUUAGGAUCAUUUUCAUCAUCUCAAGUCUCUUCAGUUCAACCAAGAGGAUAAAACACAAAAAGAUACUUUGACUCCACUCCAACACGCAUUCACAUUUCAUGAUCUCAUAAGCUAUCAAAUUUCUAAUCAACGCUAGGAUUAUACCAUCCAAAAGCAAUCCAACUCAAAAACUCUCCAUGUAGCUCCACCUCUUGACCUCACAAGCUCAUACUUAUAGAAAAUCACAUUUCAUUCAAUUAACUGAAUCUUUUUCUUUUCUAUAGUAAUGUUUCAUAAAUUACUAGUGAGAGCACAUACCGAGAUCUCAUCAAAACUCUUCAAAUUGAUUCGAAUCUAAUGCCUUAGCUAGAAUGUCUGUCAAUUGCUUUACUGUCUGCACGUGUUCAAGACUGCACACUCUAUUUUAUAAACCUUCAACAAAAUUGUUUGGUUUGAUUUUGGAUAUGCAAUAGUGAACGUCUCUAAUGAUAAGCUAUGGUGGAUAAUUCUUGUUGGCCUUGACAAGAAUUUUUAUUGUUAGUUAAAGAUUGUUGCUACCUGAGAGUUGUUCAUGCAAUGUCUGAACGUAGUCUGACUCCCCAUUAAUUUUAUCAGUCCAAUCUAAUAUUUUUGUUUUUUGUUUCAGUUCAGAUCUCAUUUCAUCAUUAUUUGAAUUUUGGCUAAUUUCCUCAAAUAGAUCAUUGCAGAAGUUCACAUUAACGAACUUCAUUCAAUUGUCUUGUGUGGAUAAAGUAACUGGACAUGUUGCUUGUUUCUUUUUCAAUCUCCACUCUAAUUUUACCAUAACGUUAUUCUUUAGUGCUUUAGAUGACCAUCAAAAUUUUCUUCCAAAAUACAGAUCUCGCACAAUUCGAUCACAUACCAAUGCCUUAUGUCCUGGUAGCUUUUAUUAGACGCAGUUUUUUUGCUGACCAUACAAGGUCUACUAUGUAAGAAUUCCACUGCCGACGAAUGUGGUAUGAGAUGCUUCGACUUUAGAAUAAGUAUAUCAAAUUCCAGUGUAAUCCCAAUAUGGUUUUCUCCAACUUAGCACUUCAUUUAGCUUUUCUUUUCCCUUGGUUAGUCAAUGAUUCACUUUCAGAAACUUUUCGGUUUCCUCUUCCAACAGCCUAAUCUUUUCCUGUUUUUCAUCUGACUUCCGAGUCAAUUUCUUAUUGUCUGCUACAAGUUCAUCGUUCAUUACGCCCUUGAGGUAUUCAUUUUUGGAAAUCAAUACUUUAUGUUCACCCACCAUAUGUUGGUAAGCUUCGCCCAACUCCUCUAUAUCAAUCUCGAAGAUGUUGUUGUUGUCCUCAUUUUCCUUUAUAUUUACCUUGUCUUGUGGUUUGAGUGUAGUAACUUCAUUAUUCUUCACGGUUGUUGUAGAAUUUUUUGGUUUUGAUGUUUUCUUUGGAAUUCUCGAUUUUUGGGCAUUCUUUGCAGGUUGUCUAUCCAUUAUCCAGGUGCUAUUCGAACUACCAGACUAGUUAUUCUUUGAAUGAAGGUUCUGGGCAGAUUUCUUGAUAGAUUGUCUGGCUCUCUUCUUUGACAUACUUCGGAUCAUUCUUCGAGAGACGGUUGCAAGCAGUUGCUGGGCGGUUCCAACCACUGGGCAGUUAGGCGGUUGCUGGUAGUUAUUCUGUUGAAGUAGUUGCUGACCAUAACUCCCAGGGCAUCCACUUCGCUUGCAUUGGAUUGUAGGGGCACAGAUCUUCCUCGCUUGCCGGAGAGCUGGAGGGCAUCAGCAGUUUAGCUCGUUUGUGCUGGCUGGAAGUGAAAUGGCUGUACUGCUGCAGUUGGAACACUUAGUCAAAAUCUGCUGACAUUCUGCAGCGGUGGGUGUCUGAGUUGUCGCUUGCAAGCGGGAGAGGCGAUCGCUUGUCUCUCGUGCCUUAGUCUUUUUCAGGAGCUGUUCUGAGCGCUUGCAAACGGAGGUGGCUACCGCUUGUGGCGCAUGCCUUAGCUUUUCUGGUAACUGACUACCGCUUAAAAAAGGCAAAAAGCGUUAAUAAUCUCAACAAUGAAGUCUGGAUCAUGCCAAGCGAUAUAGAUCAAUAAUGUAUGCCAUUAAUGAGUUAUUAUGAUGAUUUUUAUAUAGAAAUUCGAGUGAUACACAUUUUUAUCAAGUUAAGA